CUCUGGUUCGGUAAACGAAUCAGGGCGGAAGGAG
rfam:Bacillus cibi strain DSM 16189 Contig13, whole genome shotgun sequence.